UAUCCACCAACUUAUCAGUCAUCCCCCUCCCCUUUAGCUGUAAGCCUGUAAUACAAACGCCGACCUAAAAUUAUCCCUCCAUAGAUAUUUCUGCUAGCACCAGGAACAUCUCUAUCGUAUUCAUUUCUAAAAGGGGUAUACAGCUUUCUCCAUUUGUAUCGAUGAAGGAAGAGACGAAAAUACAACAAUAGAAGAAAUUUCAGUUGAAGAAAAACUUACAAUGAAUCAAUCAUUGAUUGAUAGUCGAUGUUGAACUGAGAGACUGAAGAAACAAAACAUUGGGGGUUGAAGAUAUCAAUAGUGAAGGUAAGAGAUCAUCAAUUGUUUGUCAAUCUUAGUUUUUUUUAAGAGAACACACAUUAUUUGGAAGACAAUUUUACCUGAUUUUUUUUUUUUUUUUUUUUUGCAGAAAUGUUGUAUUUGAAGAUGUUUGACAGAAGAUCUGCAAAAUAAUACCUUCAAAUUCUUUAACUCUGGAAACAUAAUCAGGUAGCUUUCCAUUUACUUAAAACUUUGAAGGUUAAAUUCGAAUUCUGUUAGUAUUUGCUUAAAAUAUUAGGCAAAAUAUUUACUGAUCAAUUUGAGUAAAUAAGAGAUUUAUUUUGUUUCAUAUACCUUCCAAAUUAAAAUUUAUCUUUGUAUAUUAUUUAACAGUUUGGAUAUAUCUACAUAUAUGAUUUUAAAAAAGCAUAGGGUUCUUGAACUCCAAAUCGUGAAAAGGGGCUCUAGAUGAGUAAAGUAAAGAAUGGAAAACAAAGUACUUAAAAAUUCAAUCCUCAAAAUCCCAAAUUAACAUUCAGAAUUAAUAGAAAAAGAGAAAAAAAAAAUCAUGUCCAGUAAAGAAUCUCUAAUCUUAGUGUGAUUAUAUAAAGCCUUUCUAUCCAAAUCAAACUCUGUUUUGGUAUAAAAAUGUUAAAGUAUGAUUAGGUAAAAUAUUAAUCUUUUAGACAAUACAAUAUAAAUUAUCAUGAUUAUAGCAUGUUACGGGCAAGCGUAAAAUUAUCAAAUUAUAAAGAUGGAAAAAUUAAAAAAAUGGAAAGAGUGACAUAAAAAAGUUUACAGAACAUGUCUUGUUUACUUUUGUAUAAAACGCUAUUAGGGAAUUAUUAUUAAAGUAAAAGUCUAUUAACUAAUUUACCAUGAUCAGUUUUGUAAAGUUGAAUUUGAAAAUAAUAAAAAUGCAAACAAUAUAAAUAAACUAUCACAAAUAUGUACAAAUGCACUAAAGGGUAAAAUUGUCAAAUUACAAAACUGGAAAGUAUGGCAUUAGGUCAAUGUGGUAAGACUCUUUUGAAAGUAACCAUAAAAAAUAGCAAUGUACUUCUAAAAAAAGUAUAAGCAAAACCAUGAAAUCCCAAAAAAAAUCCAUCCAAAGCCAAGAUGUUAUAUUUGAAAUAAAGCUACAUAUUUAUUUAAAAAACAAUUUAUACAUCAUAAAUAUUGUUUUAAAAAAGAUAAGUAAGAUAUUAAAAUUAAUGUAUAUAAAAAAAACUACAAUAAAAGGAUAUUACCAUACAAAAUAGUAUAAUCACAAAAGUACAAUUUAAUUAUCAAAAUGAUAUAAUUUUUGUUAUAAAAAUGUUAUAACAGAAAAAAAUAUAUAUAUAAUUGAAAAAAACAAAUGAAAAGUUAGGCUUUGAUUAAAGUAAAGUGUNNNNNNNNNNNNNNNNNNNNNNNNUACAUUGUCCUUUUUGUCUUUUGAGUACAAAAUUCAAAUAAUACAAAUUUGUGUUAUAGAACUGUUAAAACAGAAAGUAUGAUGUUAUAAAUGAAAAAAUCAAACUCUGUUAUAAAUUAAAAAUUAACUGUCCUUUUUGCCCUUCGAUUAGAAAAAUGUAAAAUCUGAAAAAAUAAAGGAAGAAUUUCAGAAUUUUUUUUUUGGAAAAAACAAUUUCUUAAACAUUCUUUCAUUACGGAAAAAAUAAUUUUGUUUGACUGUCACACAAACACAUACAGUAACAUAAACGCAAUCACAAAAAAGCAUCCAAAUCAACCAUUAAUAAGACAGUAAGUUCAAUAUAUUUCCCUUUUUGCCCUAUGAGUAAAGAAAUGGUAUAAUAAAAAAAUUUGUUGCAGAAAACUUUGAUGUAUGCUAUGUAAUGGAGUUUUCUUAAAGUAAGAUUUUCGACUGUAACACACACUCAAACAUAGUUACUGUUUGUCAUAUACAUGAAUGUAAGAUGCUAUAAAAUGGAGUUUUCAUUGUAUUUUCAGAAAAUAAAAAGCGACAUACCAGAUGGAUUGAACAGGUGCAGACUGAAAAGAAAAAGACGCCAGAAGAAGAUGAAAUUUUAAGGAGAAAAUAAUUUUGUUUUGGGGUUCGGUUUUUAUAACCGGUAAAUAAAUGAAUAUGAUGUAUAUUUGGUAUAAGAUUAAUAUAUUUAAAAAUAAAUGCAGAUUUAAGGGAUAUAGUAAAUCAAAAUAAUUUAAAUUUCAUUGAUAUGAUUUAGUCAAACGUAAUAUAUAUAUAUAU
rnacentral:lncRNA from 1 species